CACCUGCUGGAUGCCUGGCCCUUGGACUUAGGCUGUGGCCAGGGCUUGGGGAGAAACGUGAGUCUUCGCGGGCCCCAAGAGUUUCCGCAGGAAACAAUGCCAGAGAAGGCUGUAGCUCAGGACCAGGUCAUCGAAAGGAAGGAAAAGCCUGGAUCCUCUCCCCUCCCUUCUCUCUUCCUUCCCCUUCUCUUCCUUCCUCCCGGCUGCGUCUCCUUGGCUCCACCCCUUCUCAUCAAUUCCUCCCACACUUCCCUGCUCUCCCUGGCUUUUCACUGGAGGGUCCCUUCUCCCAGCGAAGAGCAGAUGCUGAGCCCCAUUGUCUCUCCCCCAGUGACUGCAGCCUCCCAGGGACAGGACCUGCCGCGCUUCACCCCUCCCCCCAGCCCGCCGGCCUCGGCCUUUAGAGACUGGAGCCCCAAGGCCACUGCCCCUCACCCUACCCUAAACCAGCUCCUGGUGUUGAGCGAUGACUCCAGUCACUCAGAACAUGAUUUGUUUCUGACCGGGAGUGAGAAAACAGUAGCCUGGGACUUUGCUUUAGCAAGAAGGACACCACGGUUUUUGUGUCAGUGCACUGAGUACACAGAGCAUCCCCUACUGUGCCCUCUUGAUGGGGGUACACAAGAAGCCACAUUUCUGUCUUAUAGCCUGCUUCAUGCACCUAAGCUGUAGCCUCCAAAUAAAGCAAAACAGCUGGGAUCGUCAAGCAUUCAUGUGACAAAUACUGAGGACCUACUCUGCUUGCUUGUGUGCUGAGCUCUGAAGACCUAACCAUAACACAUAUGGUCUUGACCUAGGCUUUGCAAACUGGCAGGGGAAGAAAAAGGAAGACAGGCCACCAUAAUGCCAAAUGUUAUAUGUCAGGAUGAGUCAAGAAAGCACUUAAAAGGGUACUGGGACUAGGGUGGUCAGGGAUGGCUUCCUGGAGGAGGUUACAUCUCGAUGCCUUUGCCAGGCAAAUGCAGGGGAAGGCACAGCCUGUCCAAAGGCCCCAGGGCAAGAGAACACAUUUUUACAGAUUCUUGGAGCUGCCGCAAGUGUUUGCUGCAGUGGAGAGUACAAGUCGGGGAGUGGGGACACUUAGGUCAGUGUCAAGGCACAAGUAGGGGAGGGGAGUGUGUCAGGGUAUAAUUGGGGGAGGGGGCUGGGUAUCAAUGAGAUGUUCAAGUUUUAGCCUCUCCCACUUGCUAGACGUCAUGAACCUGGGUGAUAAGCAGCUGCAGGAUGACUUAAACUCGGUGUCCUUUCUUAUAAAAUGGGGAUAAGACCUGUGGUCAACAUAAGGCCAGAGACAGUGUCUUAUGUUGAAGGGCCCAGGUUUACUUGACGCAUAUCCCUGGGCAACUUGACUUCUCUAAAUAUAAGUUUUCUCAUCUGUGAAGUGAGAAUGAAAACAUUUAACCUCACAGGGUUUUCUUUCAGGCUUAAAUGAGCCUGUACCUAGCUCAGUGUCUGGGACACAAGCCUCAAUAUGUGGUAGCUUUUAUUCAUUGCUAUAAAUCAGGGAGUGACAGGGAAGUGUUCUUACAACAUAGAAAUGAGAUUUAUGUUCUGGGUUGAAACUAGAGUGACUCACCAUGCCCCAAACAUGAUGAGCUGGCCGUGCAGGAAGCAUUCCUUCAGAAGUGCCCUGGCUGGGAUUGGGGAACUCCUACAUCUGAUGAAGAUGGCAAGGGUAUCAUCUCAGGAACAGGACCCGACUGGGAAGACUGUGACUACGAAGGUCUGGCUUCAUCAGUGAAGGUGUAGCCUGCCUGAGAACAAAUAGAAAUCAGUAGAGAGGGAGCCUCGUAAAAUCCUGGAGGGCCCCUAGGAGCAGACCCUUGGUUGUAUUUGCCCCCAAUGGAGAGAAGAAGACAAGGAGGUACAUGCUGGGGAGGAGAGAGGGAGAAAGAGACUUUUGGCCCCUCCAGAGCCCAAAUUAAAUCUCUCAAAACCUCUCAGUCCUUUCCUUCAUUUCCUCAUUCUUCAAGCAGUCUGCAGAUGGACUGUACACCAGCAAAUUGCUCCCCAAGUCCAGGGAGAUGCCGGGGCUCCAGUCCUGCAUUGUAAAGCUUUUACACUUGUUUCUUUAUGACACAAGUUCGUUGUGAGAGAAUUUGAUAAUUCUAGGGAAAACUGGAAAAGAACCCCUGCAGAGGAAUUUCCGUUGUGGUAAAGCGGAAUCAAAUCCGACUAGUAUCCAUGAGGAUGGGGGUUCCAUCCCUGGCCUCACUCAGUGGGUUAAGGACCUAGAAUUGUUGUGAGCUGUGGUGUAGGUCAAAGAUGCAGCUCCAAUUGGACCCCUAGCCUGGGAACUUCCAUAUGCCACUGGUGUGACACCCCCCCAAAAAAAGAACCCUGUAGAGAUAUUAUAUUUUGGUAUAUAUCUCUGGACACUUCAUGUCUACAUGUAAAUGCACAUGGUAAUAAAGCUAUGCAAGGUAGGAGUUCCCAUUGUGGCUCAGCAGGUUAAAGACCCAACAUUGUCUCUGUGAGGAUGCGGGUUCGAUCCCUGGCCUGUUCAGCGGGUUAAGGAUCUGGUGCUGCCACAAGCCAUGGCAUAGGUUGCAGAUGUGGCCCAGAUCUGGUGUUGCAGUGGCUGUGGUGUAGGCACUGGCAACCACUUUUACCCAGUAAUGUGUCACAGAUGUGUUUCCCUGUCUGAAAACAUCCACAUCAUCAUUCUUAACGAAUUAAAGAAUCAUCAUUCUUAACGAAUUAAGAAUGAUGUGGUUGCACCCACAUGUUCAUUGCAGCACUAUUCACAAUAGCCAGGACAUGGAAACAACCUAAAUGUCCAUCGACAGAUGAUUGGAUUCGGAAGAUGUGGUAUAUAUACACAAUGGAAUACUACUCAGCCAUAAAAAAGAAUGACAUAAUGCCAUUUGCAGCAACAUGGAUGGAACUAGAGAAUCUCAUCCUGAGUGAAAUGAGCCAGAAAGACAAAGACAAAUACCAUAUGAUAUCACUUAUAACUGGAAUCUAAUAUCCAGCACAAAUGAACAUCUCCUCAGAAAAGAAAAUCAUGGACUUGGAGAAGAGACUUGUGGCUGCCUGCUGGGAGGGGGAGGGAGUGGGAGGGAUCGGAAGCUUGGGCUUAUCAGACACAACUUAGAAUAGAUUUACAAGGAGAUCCUGCUGAAUAGCACUGUAAUUGCAAUGUAUACAUGUAAGGAUAACCUGACCCCCUUGCUGUACAGUGGGAAAAAAAAAU
rnacentral:lncRNA from 1 species